rnacentral:rRNA from 1 species
CCUACGGGGGGCAGCAGUGGGGAAUAUUGCACAAUGGGCGCAAGCCUGAUGCAGCGACGCCGCGUGAGCGAUGAAGGCCUUCGGGUCGUAAAGCUCUGUCCUAAGGGAAGAAUAAUGACGGUACCUUAGGAGGAAGCCCCGGCUAACUACGUGCCAGCAGCCGCGGUAAUACGUAGGGGGCGAGCGUUAUCCGGAAUCACUGGGCGUAAAGGGUGCGUAGGCGGCCCUGCAAGUCAGGAGUUAAAUCCCUCGGCUCAACCGUAGUAAGCCUUUGAAACUGUAGGGCUUGGGGGCAGGAGAGGGGAGGGGAAUGCCCGGGGGUGGGGUAAAAUGUGGGGUAAGUGGGAGGAACACGAGUGGGGAGGGGGGGCCUUGAGAAUGUACCAGGCGGGGAGGCACGAAGGGGUGGGGGGCAAACAGGAUGAGAUCCCCUAGUAGUG